GGAGAGUUGGCCGAGUGGUUUAAGGCGCUGGUCUUGAAAACCAGUGAUUCCGAAAGGAACCGUGGGUUCGAAUCCCACAUUCUCCG
rnacentral:tRNA from 1 species